AUCCAGCUGACGAGUCCCACAUAGGACAAAUUGCGCGGCCUGGAU
rnacentral:hammerhead_ribozyme from 1 species